rnacentral:rRNA from 1 species
UUCUAUUAAUAGCCUAUCAAUAGAGAUUGGAAAAUACGAACUACAGUUUAAACACCAAAGAAUUUGGCGGUGCCUUAAUAAAUUAGGGGAACCUGUCCCUUAAAUCGAUAAUCCACGAAAAUUUAACCUAAUUUUGAAGUUCAGUUAGUGUACUGCCGUCUCAAGUAUACCUUUAUGAGUGUAUACAAUAAAUAAAGAAAUAAUAAAACGUCAGGUCAAAGUGCAGCCAAUAAUUAGGGGGAGAUGGGUUACAAUCUUUAUAUAGAAUACGAAUAUAAACAUAAAAGUGUUUAUUGAAGGUGGACUUAACAGUAAUUAUAUAAAAUAUAAUGAAAUAUUUAUAAGGCAAGU